AAAACUUUCAACAACGGAUCUCUUGGUUCUGGCAUCGAUGAAGACGCAAGCGAAAUGCGAUAAGUAAUGUGAAUUGCAGAAUUCAGUGAAUCAUCGAAUCUUUGAACGCACAUUGCGUCCCUCGGUAUUCCGGGGGGCAUGCCUGUUCGAGCGUCAUUA
rnacentral:rRNA from 1 species